UACGUAGGGUCCGAGCGUUGUCCGGAAUUAUUGGGCGUAAAGGGCUCGUAGGCGGUCCGUCGCGUCGGGAGUGAAAACUCGGAGCUUAACUCCGAGCCUGCUUCCGAUACGGGCAGACUAGAGGUAGGCAGGGGAGAGCGGAACUCCUGGUGUAGCGGUGGAAUGCGCAGAUAUCAGGAAGAACACCGUGGCGAAGGCGGCUCUCUGGGCUACCUGACGCUGAGGAGCGAAGACGUGGGGUAGCGAACAGG
rnacentral:rRNA from 1 species